UAACUCAUCACUAAGGCUGGGUCCGUGCCAGGCUCCAGAAGGAGGUUGCACAGCCGGGAGGUCUGCUCCAGACUUCAUGACUCAACAGGAAGGUCCUCUGCAACCCUCCUCCCUCUGGUUCCUGGAGGAGCUGCUUGAGCCCCAUCGCUGAAGAAGUCCGCUCUUGGCCCCAGUGGCUGGAUCAGAGAGAGAUGUCUGACUUUAAUGGACCCCUUCCUUCUUCCCUGCCUUGUACCACCCUGUGAGCCAUCUUGGCACGAUGGGAGGCAGGCCUCACCUCUCAGUGUCCUGCACCCGGGAGACAUGAGCCCCCCCCAGCAGCUGCAGAGCCGCCGGAGCAGCCCCCUGUGCCCACCCCCUCGGUGCUGAUAGCUGCCCUGCUGCAGCUGUACACGGCCCUCCAGAGGCCUUCCUGCUGCUGCCGCUUGGGCAAACUGAUUGAAUUCAGGGAGAGCAGCUCCUUGCUGAAGGCUUAAAUACAGUGGUGUUUAACUCCUGGGUGGGAGCAGGUUUCGCAGCAGCUCAGCGAGGGGCAGGAGGAUCUCUGCCUUUCCAGGAAUCCGAGGCUGGAUGGGCACUGCUGGGACAUGCCUUGAAACCAGCGUGUAGCCAAAGACAAACAGAGGCAGAGCAAACAAUAGCUUGCACAGGGAGGAUUUACCAAGGAGAAAGCAAGGCAGCUCGCUGGUGCGGGGCUGGCUUUGGAAAGCUGAGCUCCAGCAAGCCACGAAGCGCUGAGGUUGGGACUGGUGUUGGUCAUCGGACUGGCACCAGGACCGGCCCUCUCUGCUUGCGCCGACUUUGACUCGAACAGCCUCAUUAGCGAGGAAAGCAUCCCUGAGAUAAGUUACUGCUGCUGUAACAAGUGCAAUUAUCUCCUUCUGCUGCUAUUCUGGCUGUGGGCAUUGAAGUUUGUUGCUAUUAUACCAUUUCAUUGCAGAGCUCUUGUGCACAGGAGAGCGCUUCCAGGAGAAAGUCAAAUUGCAGCGAGCCUGUUUUUGGGAAGGAAGCACUCAUCAUCAGCUUGAUCCCACUCGGUUAUCUCAUCAUGUCAGGAUGGCUGUGCCUGGGCAGACUCUGCCUGUCCCCUCCCCACUGCCUGAGCUCUGUGCUGGCCAUGGCACCCGCUCUCCCAACCCCAGCAUUACUCAGUGACACGUCUCUGGGAACAUGUAGUGGUGGCAGCAUCUCACUGGAGUGGAAAGAUGAGGUCUGAG
rnacentral:lncRNA from 1 species